rnacentral:rRNA from 1 species
AUUAAAGAGUUCUAUAACUCCCAAACCCAUGUGAACAUACCUAACGUUGCCUCGGCAGGUCGCACCUACCUUGUAGCACCCUACCCUGUAGGGCCUACCCGGGAGGUGCGGGUAAGCCUGCCGGCGGCCCACCAAACGCUGUUUGAUAUUGAAUUCUGAACCUAUAACUAAAUAAGUUAAAACUUUCAACAACGGAUCUCUUGGUUCUGGCAUCGAUGAAGAACGCAGCGAAAUGCGAUAAGUAAUGUGAAUUGCAGAAUUCAGUGAAUCAUCGAAUCUUUGAACGCAUAUUGCGCCCAUUAGUAUUCUAGUGGGCAGGACCGUUCGAGCGUCAUUUCAACCCUUAAGCCUUCGUUGCUUAGUGUUGGGAGCCUACGGCAACGUAGCUCCUCAAAGUUAGUGGCGGAGUUGGUUCACACUCUAGACGUAGUAAUUUUUAUCUCGCCUAUUAGUUGGACUAAUCCCCUGCCGUAAAACCCCCAAUUUAUCAAGGUUGACCUCGAAUCGGUUCAGACAAACUCGCUAAAUUGAAGCAUCUUAGUCAGCGAAGGAAAAGAAACCAACAGGGAUUGCCCUAGUAACGGCGAGUGAAGCGGCAACAGCUCAAAUUUGAAAUCUGGCCCUCGGGUCCGAGUUGUAAUUUGU